GUGGGGAAUAUUGGACAAUGGGCGCAAGCCUGAUCCAGCCAUGCCGAGUGAGUGAUGAAGGCCCUAGGGUUGUAAAGCUCUUUCAACGGUGAAGAUAAUGACGGUAACCGGAGAAGAAGCCCCGGCUAACUUCGUGCCAGCAGCCGCGGUAAUACGAAGGGGGCUAGCGUUGUUCGGAAUUACUGGGCGUAAAGCGCACGUAGGCGGGUAUUUAAGUCAGGGGUGAAAUCCCGGAGCUCAACUCCGGAACUGCCUUUGAUACUGGGUACCUAGAGUAUGGAAGAGGUAAGUGGAAUUCCGAGUGUAGAGGUGAAAUUCGUAGAUAUUCGGAGGAACACCAGUGGCGAAGGCGGCUUACUGGUCCAUUACUGACGCUGAGGUGCGAAAGCGUGGGGAGCAAACAGGAUUAGAUACCCGGGUAGUCC
rnacentral:rRNA from 1 species